rnacentral:rRNA from 1 species
UACGUAGGGAGCAAGCGUUGUCCGGAAUCAUUGGGCGUAAAGCGCGCGUAGGUGGCUUCGUAAGUCCGUUGUGAAAGUCAAAGGCUCAACCUUUGAAAGCCGAUGGAUACUGCGGAGCUAGAGUACGGAAGAGGCGAGUGGAAUUCCUGGUGUAGCGGUGGAAUGCGCAGAUAUCAGGAGGAACACCAAUAGCGAAGGCAGCUCGAUGGGACGUUACUGACACUGAGGCGUGAAAGCGUGGGGAGCGAACAGG